UAAGUGUAGGGGGUAACCAAGUUGUUUUGCAUGAAAUUCGCUGGUGUUUAUCACCCAUUACUUCUAGUGUUGUUCCUUGCUGUUUUUAAGUGUUUUUAAGCUAUUUUGGAGUGUUUUGACAUAAAAAUCCGAAAAUCUCAUAAAAAUUUGAAAAAUUGUUUUGAUAAACCCAAAAAGAGUUGUUUUUGUGUGUUUAUUUGUGUCUUAGGGUACCUUCCAACACAAUGAUGAGGAUUUGGUUUUUAAUUACAUGACUGUUAAAGAGAGUUAUAAACAUGGAUGAAUAUUUGAUUUACUCUUUGGUGUAUGCUUGGUUGUGGUUAUAAUUUAUGAAUUCACAUGCAAUCAUAAAGGAAAAAUCAAUUUUUGUAACAUGCUUGAAGGAAGGAACUCAAAUGAACGCUACAACCUUGUGAGACUUGAGCCUAAACGUUUAUUUGGAGAGUUAAUAAUCUGUGCACCAUUGUUUUCUAAAGUCGUUGCAUGAUCUCAUUAUUCUUUGCUUGGUUGCUACUUAGAAGGCGUUUCAUCAUUUAGUUCUAAAUGCUAGAACUCAUGCCUAUUUCAUUCAAAGCAUUCUAUUGAUUUGCAUAACACAUAUUCAAGAUGAAGUUGUGUAGUGACCACCAAAGCCAAAUUGCCAUGCCCCUAUUUCAUUAUGUGUUUAAGUUUAACCCCGUUGAGCUUUGUUAAGCCUAUGUUCUUUGUUAAUCCACACUAUCCUUACCUAGCCUAGUUUUAAGAUCAUCCAUACCCUUGUUCUUGAAGCAUAGUAAAGCAUGACUUAAAAUGAACUCCUUUUUUUAUCAAUAUAUUGCAGAAAGCAAGUGUGGGGGAAGUGAUUCUUGUGUGUGUGUGUGUGUGUGUGUGCCAAAGUCCUUAAUAAGGCACGGAUAAAAAAGAAAAAAAAAGGAAUUGAAAAGAGUAUGAAAAAUAGCUCUAAAGUGUUGUUUGUUAAAGAAAGGGUUCAAAACAUUGAAUUCGGCCCUAAGUGUUGCAUGAAUCUUCCCUUUGCAUUUAAAAGUUGAUUCUACAUUCUAAAGUUAUUUCCAAGUGUCUAUUUCAUUGCUUUGCUAGCUAUCUCUUUAAGAACGUUUGUAUCCCUAUCCUUUCUUUGUUAGCCAUUACCCCCAAGCCCUGUUACAACCCUUGACUUCAAUCUUGAGUGUUGUGUGUUUCAAUUUAUGGAGUUCGAAAUUGGUAUGAGCAUAUGGUCUCACUGGUUCUCGCAUCUAAGUAGUAGCAUUCCAUUCAAGAGAUCAUAUCUAAACAUGCUUAAUAACUCCAGAAAAUUGCUUUCUUUGUUAUAACAUAUGUGAGUCUUAGUCUUCCGUGUUUACAUCAAUCUUCUCACAUAUACUAGUGUAGGGUGUGUAGUCAAAAAAUGUGUGUAAAAAUAGAGAGUAUCUUGUAAGGAAUUGAGCAAAUUCUCUAAGGCAUGUUACUACAUUCAAAACAUUGUUUUAAUUGGUUAAUUGUGAACUAGUAAGUAGUGACUGUGAUUAACUAUGUGCUCAAGUGUAAAGAUGACCAAAAUCUAUGGGAAUGAUGAUUUUUAACAUGUCAUGUUUCAUUAAAAAUCCCUACGGCAAAUGUUGGAAGAUCUAGGUUGUGUUUUGUUUGUUUCAUUUGUUUUGUUUUGCUCGAGAACUAGCAAAAGCGAAGUGUAGGGGAAUUUGAUAGGAGCAUAUUUAUGUGACUGGGUUAGCUUGUUCUCAUGCAUUUAUGUUGUUAUUUCUUAGUUAAUUAUGUAUUUUAAGCUAUUUUCAUGUGUUUGUAGGUCCAUAGGCCUUAUAAAGCAAUAAGAUGCAUUUUGGUGCAUUUUGGAGCAUUUUUGGGCUUGGAAUGAAUAGCACAUGCAUGGAGCAAGGUGGAUGGAUGAAAUUGAAGACUAAAGAGGCAAGGAAUGUGUUAAAGAGAAAGAAGAAUUAAUGUAAAAAGGACAAAGAGUUCAACCACAAAGGGGUGUCACUCCACCAUUCACCUUUCCAUCAUUGUCGUGCACCACCAUUGCACUCCCUUUGGAUUCCUAUGCCGUGCAUCAUCAUCCAUGUUCCCUCCAUUGACUCAUUUGUUGCAUGAUUCCACUUCCUUUCCUUUGUCUACCAUGUGCACAAUAUCCUUUCACCUCCUUGCACUCAUUGAUUCACCACUUACUUACCUUUCCACCCAUGCCAUGCAUAAUCACCCUUGUUCCCUCCAUCAUUUCAAAUUUCAUGCAUCAUUACAUUGAAUCAUUGCACUCAAUUGCUACACCAUUCCUUGUUCCCUCCAUCCUUUCAGAUUUCAUGCAUCAUUACAUUGAAUCAUUACACUCAAUUGCUACACCAUUCCUUUUCCCUCCAUCAUUUCAAAUUCAUGCAUCAUUACAUUGAAUCAUUGCACUCAAUUGCUACACCACUCCACGUUCCCCUCCAUUGCCACGCACUUCCUCUAUAAAAGGAAGUGUGUGUAAGUGAUGCGAUGAAAGUUAAGCACUCAAAUUAAACCCUCUUGUUGUCAAAUUGUAGUAUAAAUGCAAGUAGCGAUCGUUCUAAACCGGGGAUUAGGAGGGCUUGCUAAACCUCUAAACUUCCUCAAAAACAUAACAAAGUUAAAAACGUUUGAAUCGACUCAAGGGACUCAAACAGAUUCUAAAGACUCAAAACAACUUAAAAACACUCAAAACUGCCUAAAAACACAAACUGGGCAGAUUUGACUCUAACACAACUUUGGACGAAUUUAGUGUUUUGACUUAAAUCAAAACACUCUAAAACACAAACAAAACUGAUUUUAAACACUUUGGAACAAGAAAGUAAAAUGGGGGUUUUGAUUUGGAUGAAUUUGAAAUAAACAAUCAAGUUAUAAAACUAGGCAGAUUAUAAAAUGAAUUUGAGAAAUAAAAUGAUGGAGGGAUUAGUUAGAGGUUCGUUCUUCACACAUGACACACUUGUACAUGAAUCGAUUUCCAAUUGCUUUU
rnacentral:lncRNA from 1 species